GAUGAAGAACGUAGUGAAAUGCGAUAAGUAAUGCGAAUUGCAGAAUCCGUGAGUCAUCGAAUCUUUGAACGCACAUUGCGCCCCUUGGUUAUUCCGAAGGGCAUGCCUGUUCGAGCGUCAUUAUCACCCCUCAAGCCCUGGCUUGGUGUUGGACUUUAGUUAUAGCUUUGCCUAUCAACUGGUCUCAAAGAUAGUGACGGCGCCCCAGAGGGAACCGGGUACGAGGAGCUUUUUACUAAGCAUGUAUCUGGGACGACUCUGGGCGACGGUCUUGUUAUACUUUUUACCUAAGUGUUGACCUCGGAUCAGGUAGGAAUACCCGCUGAACUUAAGCAUAUCAAUAAGCGGAGG
rnacentral:misc_RNA from 1 species